AUAUUUUGUUGUUUUAUUCAAUUUUGUUCUACUUCACGUAUUUUGGGAAGAGUAUAUUUGGUGGUAAAUACUUAAGCAUUAUUAACCACUUUUAAAAAAGUCAGUCAUCAACUGAAGUGUGAAAAAUUUAGCAUGGAUAAUUUAAAAAAAUUCUUUAUAAAUACUGUUUCCAUUUGAUUGCUGCUAUGUCACUUUGGAAAUGCGCAUGGUAUAGACUCUUUUGGGCUUCAAAACGGGGUGAGGAAUUGUGGAAGACACUUUGGCCUAACUGCCACAGAGCACCAAGCACAACUCUGCUCAUCUUUAAUCUGACCUUCAAGAAGCCACAGUUUGGGCCACAGCAUUCUUUCUGUAAAAUGAAGAUGUUGGACUAGAAGGUUCCUUUCAACUCUAAAAUUUUUGCUGAAACCACUGUUUGUAAUCUGAUUUCCCCCCAUCUUAGUCCAUUGUUCAACUACUCUCUAUAAGCAUCUUGUUGUGAAUAGCCUCCUUGUCCUAUGUCUGUUAAUUUCUAAAUAAAUCCAGAUUCUUUGCUUUUUGUUACAAAACCCUAUAUCAUAUGGCCCAUUCUAUUUCUCUGACCUCAUCUUAAAUGAUUUUUCCUCCUCUUUACCACACUAUAGUCACAUUGGCCCUCUUUUGGCUUUUAGAACAAGUCAAGUCUACUCCCAGUCUUAGGGACUUUUAUGUUAUUUGCACUCAGAUCUCUAUUGGCUGGCUGCUUCUUAUCAUUAAGAAUUUAGCUCAAAUGUCACUUCAGAGAGGCUUCCCCUGAUCAUUUAAUUUAAAAGCCAUCUAGCUACUCACUGUUUCACAUUGUCUUUUUUUUUCUUUGCAAUAGCACUUAUAAUCGGGCAUUUUUUCUGAUUUUCUCUCUCUCUCUGUCUCCCCCUAAAAAUGUAAGGUGUACAUAAAAUAAGAACCUUGUCUUUCUUAUUCACUACACUGUAUUCCCCCAUGAUACUGGCAUAUAAUAGGCAGCAAUACCUGUUGAAUAAACUAAGAAAAGAUACUGGCUUUUUGUUAAGUUUCAGAGGACGUUUAUGAAAGCAGAUGAAAAAAGGAGUGUAAUGUCAAAAAUAUGCUCUGCUUUAUUGGUUAUGUGAACAGAAUAGUGUGUAGAUGAGAAAUAAAUGUCUUAAGUUGAAUUAAUAGGAAAAAGCUUAGGUAUUUUACAGUUUCAUGACAAUUUGCAAAAUUUGAUCUGAUACGCUGUUUUAAAAGUUAUAUGCAUUUACUUUUUAUAGGUAUUUUUGGUUGCAAAUACACAAAUAGUCUUGGAUAAUGUAGGUAAAAGAGGAGUUUAUUGGAAGAUUAUUGAGUAACACAGAGGAUUAAAAGAAUAGCUGGAAAACAAAAUGUCAUGUUAGGCUAGGAACCAGGGCAUCUAAGAAUUGAGCAGCGAGAGUUUAUGGAACUUCUCGAUUGAGAGCCUUGCUGGCAUAACUUGGCAUCAGUGCCUCCCAGGCAUUUAUCUUUUAAAUUCAGAUUCUUAGAAGAGUGAAUGUGUUUUGGGCCUUUCUGACUAGGGAAGUGAGGUUACCUACCAUUACCUAGACAUGACCACUGAGCCUACCCUAGGUAUUAGGAUUAUUUCUAGAGAUGUGAAAUUGUGAUUUGUUCCAAUUAGGGCCUACUGCUGUUAGGUUUUUCACUAUCCCAAAAUGAUAUCAACUGUCUGUUUUGUUUAUUUAAACCUUAGGGGAUGAUGUUUCAGCAGUGAGCAUUAACAUAGAAUAGGCAAGACCAUAAGGCUGUGAUAGAGAAUAUAAUGUUAACCUGUCUGGUUCCAUCUCUUCUUAAAAGAAGAAAUCCUAUUCAAGGAAGAGAUAUUUAUGCAUUCUUUAAAAGACAUGUGUUUCAUACAGGCUUCCAAGUCAGGACUUGAGUCUAGAGGGUACCUGUUCACUAUAAUCCUUUCCUUCCUCCUCCACUUUUGUGACUUCUUGCCAUGGUGAACUACUGUUGCUGACAGGUGUGUUGGAGCAUGACAUUUGUUUUGAUCAGUGACUCUCAAAACACACUCCUUGGACCCUAGUAUUGGGAACUGUAAAUGUUCAAGCCCCUUUCCAUACUUACUGAAUCAGAAACUUAGGGGUAAGGGUGAGGCCUAGCAAUCUGACUGUUAAGCCCUGUACAUAAUUCCAGUGGAUGCUGAAGUAUGAGAAUCAUUCCUUUACAAACUUUCUGUUUCUAAGCGGGGGCAGGGUCAGCCAGGCUAACAGGUAGGUGGUCAUGUACCUGGUCAUUUUGCCAGGUAUCGUUUCAGGAGGCCUUAAACAUGGUAAAGUGAUGAACUAAACGAUGUCACUGGUCUCGUGGAGUGGACAUUUCAGUGGCAAAAACAAACAAGAAAUGAAUCUAUAGCUGUAAUCAGUUUUAUGGAGAAACAUAAAGUGGGGUAGACAGAUGAGUAGUGACUGUGCAUGGAGGGAGGUAUUCAUUUUUAAGGGUAAUCAGGAAAGAAAUCUCUUCUAAUAUGAUGGGAAUGGAGAGACAGGAACAAAAUGAUGGGAGGAAGGCAUGAAAACCAUUUGAGAGAAAAACAUUCCAGGCAGAGUGAACAGUAAGUACAGCUGACUCAAGCAGAAACAUGCUUGGGAAGUGUUGUAAGAUGUGAGGUUAGAGAGUUAGCAGAGGGGCAGUAUCAUGCUGUGGUCAAAAGUAGGAACUCAGAUUGAGACUUCUAGCUAGUUUUGCUGCUUGUUUUGUGACUUUGGUACUACAUCUUGAUCUUAACCAAAAAGGCUGGGAAGUGAUGUAGUUUUGUGACUUUAAACAAAUUACUUUUCAUUCCUUGUUAUUAGUUUUCUCAUUUCUGUAAUGGAGAUAUUAAACCUCUCCCAAGAUUAUGAGGACUAAAGAGUAAAUAUGAGUGAAGCAGUUGGAAAAGGUUUUUAUGCUGUGUGUUACAAGAGUGUAAGCUCUAUGAGGGCAGGAAUCUUUUUGUCUUUCAGUGCUGUAUUUCCAGUGCUUAGAAUAGCGUCUGGUAAAUAGUAUAUGCGCAGUAAGUAUUUGUUGUGCAUGUUUGUAUGAAACUCAUUCUUUCAAAUGUUGUUAAAUUUUUUUUUUCUUUAAACUUGUCUUUUGCAUUUGCACAUAGCGCCUUACUUACGGAAGUCAGUGUUAGAGGUAGUGUUUUGGACUUAGCUGUGCAGCACUCUGAAACUAAUAGGAGAAGACAGUCUUAAAUGCGAGGUCUGAGAAAUGAAGCAGUGCUGUAGUGCCCUUUCCAACUUUUUGAAGUUUGGCCUAAUGAUGUGAGAAUGAGAAGCUAAUAUGAACAGGCCAUUGAAAAUGUAUUAAACUUUUUACAGAAUUGAUAUUUAUUAAUAAAGCAGACAUCUAUUGCAUUUACUGUGUACCAAGCACAUCCUGGGUAAGAAUAUUUAAUUCAUUUGAAAUAACUCUUUGAUAUAAUCAAGUCAGUAGGUUUUUGAGUCAGUUAGGCCUAGGUUUGGAAUUUUAGCUUAUCCAGUUUUUGGCUGUAUUUGUCAAAAAUUGCCACAAUAAUGCUCCAUGAUAAAACACUCUAAAACUUGGUGACUUAAAAUAAUAGGCAUUUAUUUCUGUGCUCAGGGGUCUGUAUGUUGGCUGAGGAUCUGCUGAUUAAGGCAGAGUCUAGCCUGAUUGAGGCUAGCUGUGGAGGGGUUUAGAUCUUCUCCCAUUUAUGUUCCUGCUGGGCCCAGGGUAAAGGGGGUUGUGGCUGCUAGGGCACGCUCUUAUUGCAGGUCACUGAAAUGCUAGAUUCAAGCCAAAUAGUAUAAGCAUGUGUAAGACCUCUGACCUCUGCUCUUGUUCUUUUUCAUUAGUCCAGUGAUUCUCAGCUGGUGACAGUUUUACCGCUGGGGAUGUUUGGCAAUGGCUAGGGGUAUUUUUGGUGUUUAAACUUGGGAGGGGGUACUAUCAGCAUCUAUUGGGUAGAGUCCAGAGAUAUUGUUAAACAUUCUACAGUGCACAGGAUAGUCAACACCUGUGCCCUUCCAGCUACCCAACAAAGAAUUAUCUGGCCUUAAAUGUCAGUAGUGCUGAGGUUGAGAAACCCUGCAUUAGUGAUAUUAAGUCACUUCAUUUACAAUGAGAAGGGAAUUCAAAUAAGUGUUUGCUGAAAAAUAACUUGAUAUGAUCAUAUUGGCUUUGAGUAUAUGUCUGCUUUUUAGAAUCUGUUGUCUAUGAAGUUAUAAGGUUUACUUCAUAGGAUUGUUUGGAGAAGUAAAGGCAACAAAUGUGUGACACCUGAUAGAGGCAGGCACUCAAUAUGGUUUUUGUGAUUACGCAUAAGAAAAAUAAUCCUGUUUUGAAGGAGUUCAGUCUUGUAUGAAAGAUAAAAGAUUAAAUUAUUUAAGAGUUUAAGCUUCUCAUGCAUUCAUAAAACUACAGACAUGAAAAAAUAUUGAAGUUAUGUUUAGACCAUCAAACGGUUUAUUCAGCUGGUCAAGUUUUUAAGGACUUGCUUGAAUCCAUGGAGAUGUUAUAAAUGAUAUAUGAAUAGAGUUAACUAAGUAAAAUUGUUAUAUUUUGAAUGAGUCAGUAAUAAUUUAGUCAUUCAGUUUGCCUAGUUAUCAAUUUUAAGUUGUUAGAGAUUGUUCUAUAGGAUCUGCCAGAGUAGUAGACUUGCUAAAUAUUGGCAAGAUCUAGCUGUUGGUGAUAUUAGUUGUCCUGUUAAACACAUAAACAGAUUGGGUUGGUAAACUCUUCCUUUAGAUAUGAUGAUUAAAUUGUAGUGAAACAUUUUGGAGUUUUGUGUGAAUAUAAUUCUGAUUUUCUAAUAUUUUUAAAAGGGGCUUUAAUUUUGAAUAAUAGCUUUGAAAGGCAUCCCUUGGGUCUAGGCCAUUGUGAAUACCCAUAUUGUCAAAGGUUUUGUAAGAUAGACAAAUGUCUUUCCAAGGAUUGUGUUUUCAACCUGUAGGAUCCCAGCCUGGUUGCUGUAGUCAGUAGUUUAUAGAUUCAUAAUAUUAUUCAUGGUGCACUCUGCUGUCUCUCUUAUAAUAAUAACCUAUGUUGAUGAUGGAACAUGAGUUGUAAGUUGUCUUUCUGUUUCAUUUUCCUGGGUUUGCAAAUCAACUUAGGCUAGUCAUAGCUCCUGAGUUAGUAUAGGGUUGUUAUUUGUCAUUAGUCUUGAGAAAUCGGUGUCAGAUUGGCUGUUGAGCUGGCAUUUGUUUUGGAGGGAUGAUGGGGAGAGAGGGGUCAAUGUAGUAAGUUAUCUUUCUUUAAAUAAAAUCUUUGUUUCUUUGACCAGUGUGGCUUUCUUACUGUGUUGAAGGAUUAAUCAAGAACCUCAGGAGUCUUAAUAUACACUGCUUUCACUUUUGUUCUUCUGAAUAACAAAUGAUAUUAAAUCAAAAUUUAAUGAUAUUCAAAUUCAAAGUCUCCUUUUUCAGUACCCAGGUUAACACUUGAUUUUUGCCUGAAUGUGAUCUUAAUUUUAUGAGUGGAAAGCAAUAAUGCUUUAAAAAUAAGAUCGUAUCUUUCUUCUUUGAUAGUUUGUACAGGAAUCUAAAGGCACUUUUUCUCAUAAGGUUAGUAUAUGUUUUUAUUCAGUGGAGUUGUGAAAUGAUUCAGAUUACAUAUUAACUUAUUAAAGUUUUAAUAUAGCAGUGUGAUUUGAUAACAGAACAUAUCUUUAAGUUUUAGGUAGGGAAACUUGAUGUAUAACUUCAACUAGAUUGGUUGAGUAAAAGUUUAUGGCUUUUCUUUUUACGUUUCCUCUUUAUUUCACUCUACAAGGGUAUAUUUCACUCUGUAAGGUUUUAUCUGUUGUGUACAAAAUACUUCAUAGUUUUUUUAUGGUUUGCGAUAUACUAAAUUUCUUAGGAUAUUAGUAAAUAAUUCCAGAAAGGAUUAUAAGACAGUAUGAAAACAAUACAUUUUGUUUAGCUGAGAUUCUUCCAAAGUUUAACAUACCUUUAAAUAAGGCUUCUCUGAGUUUUAAAAAUGUAGGCACUUUAUUUUGUAAAUAAUAUGUUUUAAUAUUUGAAAGGAACUAGAAGAACAAAAGAAAAGAUGGGGUUGUUAGGGAAGAAUUAUUCAGUUUAGACAGAAACGUUUGUCUAUGAUUUAUCUAAAGAAGAGUUUUUACUCUGUUAAAAUUAUUGCUACAAAGCACUGUGGAUAAUUGGAUAUCUACUCAUAGGUAUUCAGUCUCUGUAUCUCUUAAGAUUCUUGCUGAAAUAGCCAAAGGAAUAUAAUAUAGGAAUCAAGGAGAAAUCUGCUUCUCAGUGUAUCUAUAUUCCAGGAACAUUGAGCUGUUUCUGAUAAAAGAUUAAAGGAAAGCUCAAGGUGAUGAUCUACUUUCAGCCCAGUUUGAGAGAGCACUGUCUCCUAGAGCUGAGUAAAAGAACGUUUCUCAUCCUAACUCCUCAAAAUUGGCACAUGAAAUGGGCUACGAAACAAAGCUUAUACUGCUUGAACUCUUCCACUCAUUUCAGUUCCUGUUUAUAAGUAGGUGACCUAAAUUUAUUUUGCAAGUUAAUGAGACUAUUUAUGUUUUUUUUAAUUUCAAUUUGGGCAGAAAACUACCUUAGUUUUUGAGAUAACUUGCCUUUACUUUAGGGAUGUUGAGAUUGAGCUUUUCAGCUACUAGCUUUGAGCUAUAUUCAGUUAAUCAUUUCAUUGGGAAAAAAUACAUUUAUAUUUAAAUAUUUUUUGUUUUGUUUUAUCUUAGAGACAAGGUCUCGCUGUGUUGCCCAGGCAGGCUGGUCUUGAACUCCUGGGCUCAAGCAGUAUUCCUGCCUCAGCCUCCCAAAGUGCUGGGAUUACAGGUGGGAGCCAUUGCACCCAGCCAGAAAACAUAUUUUAUGUCUUAAUAAACCCAGCCAUUUAGAACAAGGUAGCUCACAAAUAAAUUGGGGAUUUCUGGUAAUCUUGUUUUGUCUACCAUAGAACACUGAUUUUCUCAAGUCUAAAAUCAGUGUCAUCAAUAAGCAGCCUACCUAUCAUAAACUUGAACAUCUCUUUGUUUCACAUUGAUAUAAUAUUUUCUUUAUUAUUUGGUAGGGAAUUGAUUGACCUUGAAAACUUAUCUAUGCUGUAUUGUUUGGGGUUACAGAACAAUGAUUGUUUUGAUUAGUUUCUUUCCUUUGUACUUGUAAGAUUGUACAUAAAUAGUAUAAAUUUGCCAUGCUAAGGACAGAUUAAAAUAAACCUCUUAAAAUUUGAAAAAUAAUUAGAACUUGAACAUUAAAAAGGACAUCUGAAUAUAAAACAGCAACAUUUUAUUAUCAUGUCUUUAUCCUAGAAAUGUUUGUAUAUGAUCUGUGCUAGGUAACAGGGCACAGGAAUAUGAAAAGACAUAAUUGCUCUCAUGGUACUGAUAAUAGCCACAGUCCAGGUAUGGAACAAUGAGAGCUUGAACUCGGGCAGUGGCAGUUGAAAUGAAGAGAACAGAUUAAAUAGGGAGAAUGUUCAGAUUUCUUUAUCUUUUACAUAUGAAGGCUAAGAAUGAGGGAAGGGCCUUGCUGUUGUUUCCAUUCAUUGAGAAUAGAGAUGCAUGUGAUGAUUGUUAAAGUGGUGACGAUCAGUAAAAGAUAUGAUAAUAUUGAGAAAGCAAGAUGUGAUUAUCUAAGAUGGUGUAGUAAUGAUACGUUUGGGAUGUAUGUAGGUGGGGAAGAAAUUAUAAAAACACACUGGACUAAUUCUGAAAGUAAAUGGGAUUUGAAUAGAGCUUUUAUAAAUUGAGUACUGAACAUUUUGAAAGAUUAACAGUAAUGAGAGAACUAAGCAUGAAUUUUUGUUAUCAGGGUAUGUGUUUAAGGUUUUUAGAAGAAAGGCAUUAUACUGUAUUAAGAAGCGUCCGAACUCUAGAAUCAAUCUAGGUGCUCUAAGAUUUGGACUACUGUUGUAACCUUUCAUGUGUUAGAUGUAGGUGGUAGUGAUAAGCAUUGUGCAGUGUUGGUUUGUGGAUUAAGUGACUUGAACCCUCAAAACAUACUGCAGCAUACUCAACACCUAAGAAAUAUUGAAUGACAUAGUCCUUGCACUCAUGAUAUUUCCAUUUGAUACUACCAGCAAAAGGGAAAAUUAAUAACUAGUUAUAACCAAAAUUUGAAAUCUGUCGUAUGUGAAUUGGGAUAUCCUAAAUUAUGGUGAAUCAUUCUUUGCGUACAGAUAUAACUGGACAAUAAACCAAAACUAUUCAAAACAAAUUCAGGUGAAAAAGAUAGAUUAUUAUCACUCCAGAUGCUAAGUAACAAUUAGAAAAACAAAAGAUUAACCAGUUAAUAAAAAUAUGAAUGCAAUAAAAUUCAGCAAGAGUUUUAUGGCAAGAGCAGAAGACUAUUUGUGAGAACAUAAGGUCCAAUACCAUAUGCACAAGGCCUUUUAAAAGAUCCCAGACUACUUUUCAGGCCUUUAUUUUUGCUGUUACCCAUGUGUUCCAGCCACCUAAGCAAUCCACUCUUCUGUAAAAAUGGCAGGUAACUCUAAUUUUUCUUCCCUGUAACACCUCUUUCUUGUUUCUUCCUUUCCACCAAACAUGCCCAUCUCCCCCCAUCCCACAAUGUUGAGCUCAAGUGUUCCUUUUGCUAUCUCUCUGUGCUUUGACUCCUAUAAACAGUUGAUUCCCGUCUUAGAGCACUUUGUACCAUCCAGCUGUUAAGCUCUUAUCACAGGGUAUGCAGUGAUCUGCCUGUGUCUUACAGGUCAUGCCGUGAAAUCAGGAACUCACUCUUAGGUUUUUUGUUUAAAAGCAAUCCA